rnacentral:rRNA from 1 species
AACGCGAAGAACCUUACCCAGGCUCGAAAUGAAGGGGAAGUAAGCAGAGAUGUUUACGUCCGCAAGGACUCCUUUAUAGGUGCUGCAUGGCUGUCGUCAGCUCGUGCCGUGAGGUGUUUGGUUAAGUCCAGCAACGAGCGCAACCCUUAUCAUUAGUUGCCAACGCGUCAAGGCGGGGACUCUAGUGAGACUGCCUGGGUUAACCAGGAGGAAGGUGAGGAUGACGUCAAGUCCGCAUGGCCUUUAUGUCUGGGGCUACACACGUGCUACAAUGGUCGGUACAGAAGGCAGCAAGACCGCAAGGUGGAGCAAAUCCGUAAAGCCGAUCACAGUUCAGAUUGUAGUCUGCAACUCGACUACAUGAAGUUGGAAUUGCUAGUAAUGACGUGUCAGCAACAACGUCGUGAAUACGUUCCCGGGCCUUGUACACACCGUAGUAC